GAUCAACAGAGCUGACGUGUCAUUGGUUGACAAAAUCUCGUUGGAAGAGUUUGAAACGUAGAGUGCGUUCGCUUCGUCGGUCCCGUUUGUCUUCGAAUUGCUCGUCGAAUGUGGAACGAAGACAGAAACCGACAGACGUUCAAAGUGCACGCGACGUUCAAGUCCCAAACGAACGCACCUAUAGGGUGCGGUCACAAGCAGGUUGAAAAAUCGGGACGGCUCUCGAUUCCGUAUCCAUGCGAUGUAAUGAAAAUGACAGAAGUAAGCAGAUUUAUCACAAUUAUUGAUACCACAAUAAUUGAUCGUGGAUAUUUGAGCAAAUUCGCUCACUUUUUUUAGUUCAUUUUCACUACACAAACCGCGUGACGUCAGAAAAUCGACAUCCCCUGUAGGCGACAGGUCAAUCGCCAAUGAGAACGAUUCCGAUUGUCGUAGGGAAGUGCGGAAGUUGAAAGAAUUUAUUUACGGAGUCUGAAGUAACGGAAACUAACAGCGUCUUUGUCGUCCAAGUGGCGGAAACUGAAAACGUAAAAGCGCGACACGAGCGGUGACACAAGGAUGAAAGAAGGAAAGAGACUGCGAAGUAAGUCCGGCUGUGUGUGUCACUUGAGCUAGAUUUUUUAGAAUACAUUUACGCAACAUUAACGCAAACAAAGGCAAUUUUACAAACACGCAUAUUUUACAAAAACUAGCAUCGCGACGAUGCGAAAAAAACAAAAAAA